UACGUAGGGUGCGAGCGUUAAUCGGAAUUACUGGGCGUAAAGCGUGCGCAGGCGGUUUUGUAAGCCAGAUGUGAAAUCCCCGGGCUUAACCUGGGAAUGGCAUUUGGGACUGCAAGGCUUGAGUGCGGCAGAGGAGACUGGAAUUCCUGGUGUAGCAGUGGAAUGCGUAGAUAUCGAGGAGGAACACCGAUGGCGAAGGCAGGUCUCGUGGGCAUGGACACUGACGCGCCACUGA
rnacentral:rRNA from 1 species